CGGCGGCGGGUGCACCGGGGCGCCUCCGGGACGGGACGGGACGGGGCGGAUCGGGUGGGGCAGCGCCUGACGCGCGCUGGGAGGACGUGAGCAGGAAGGCCCCACGGGUUGGAGCCCAAGGAGCUCUCCUCGUUUCACCUGUGACAGACGGUGAAAUGUCUCCGGGAGCAGACACGGGUUUUGUCCUGUUCUGUUCGGUUUCUGGGGUUCACCCCACUUUGCCGCAGGGCCAGACAGCAAGGUGGCUCCCGGCGACGCGGGCAGCGAGCGGGGUGGGCGGGGCGGCCGACCUGCGGCCCCAGCGCGCGCCCGGGCUGCGCUGACACUUCCGUGACCUCUGCUCCGCGCUGGGGGGCGUUGUAGGGACAGGGGCCCGUCCUCCCGGGACUCCUGGCUUUUCAACGGGAAAAUAGGGCUGAGGCUUACUGGACUUUGGGGAGGAAACUUGUCCUGAAUUGCUCGCCAGCACCCCCCCCCCCGUCCCCUCCUCCCCACGCUCAUGCCCACCCUCUUGUCGACGCGGCUGUCGGAGAGACCGAAGCAGAGCCCCCGGAGUGCGUGCUGGGCCGAGCGGUAGGCUGUGCAAGGAUAGCGCCGACGCAUCUGGACUCCGGUAGAUGGGACAGGACGCCCUUGAGACCCCCCGUGCAAAUUAAGUCUAAGCAAGGCGCAUUUGGAAUGUUGGGAGGUGAAAAGUGUCAAGAGGAAAAGAUAAUUGUCUGCAGCUUUCAAGAGAAGCGUCACUCAGUAAUAGAACACUUCUGGAACUAUUUCCCACUAUGAAGAAUAUUAUUUUAAAAAAGAAAAGAAACCACCUCAAGAACCGUUUAACAACGCUAGUGAAAUUCAGAAGCCAACUAUUCACACCCAGUCGCAGGAUUCUAUUUGUUCAGCAUUUUGCCCAGUUUUGCUGAAAGAAAGAAAUUUCGAUUUCUUUACUCUGCUUUGCGAAGACGUGACCAGCCCCAAAUAUCCUUAGCUGGACUCUUCUAGCACUCUUUUAACUUAAAUAAAUUCAAGAGGC
rnacentral:lncRNA from 12 species